AAAGAGUCUCCUCCCAGCUCCUUCCUGGCCUGCUAGUGAGUUCGCCUUGUUACUUUCUUUCUGCAAAAACUAAAGCCAGGAAUCAUUUUCAGUGAAUCAAUUGAAUACAGCUAGUAGAAACAUAAAAAGGUGGCAAUUAAACAGUAAGAAAGCAUCUGGCAUAAAUUAAGUGAACAGAUCACCAAAUCAUUUGGAAAACAACACAUAUAUUUGGCACUGGUUUUGGCAUUUGGAGGGAACACGCUUAGGAGUAAGAGUCUGCAACCAAGAAGCUUACAUUCUAAGAGAGAAAAUAAGAAAAUAAAGGUAAAUAACAACGGAAGGCAGAAUAGAAAGAUUGUAAGGGUGGUUCAAAAGGCUCUGAGUGGCAAAAAAAGAGAUCACAUCUUGUUGGUGUGAGGUUUCAAAAGGAUGCUUUCUAGAUAAACUUUGAAGAGGAAAUAAAGAUGGCAAAGAAAAGAUACAUUGCUUGCCAAAACUAUGUUAUUUCAGAAAAUAAUCAAGGCA
rnacentral:lncRNA from 1 species